rnacentral:rRNA from 1 species
CCUACGGGUGGCAGCAGUGGGGAAUAUUGGGCAAUGGGCGCAAGCCUGACCCAGCAAUGCCGCGUGAGGGAAGAAGGCUUUCGGGUUGUAAACCUCUUUGACAGGGGAAGAGCAGAAGCCGGUACCCCGAAGACAAUCCACGGCUAAAUACGUGCCAGCAGCCGCGGUCAUACGUAGGUGGCAAGCGUUGUCCGGAUUGACUGGGUGUAAAGGGCGUGUAGCCGGGAAGGCAAGUCAGAUGUGAAAUCCGGAGGCUCAACCUCCGAAUUGCAUUUGAAACUGUGUGUCUUGAGUAGUGGAGAGGCAGACGGAAUGCCUGGUGUAGCGGUGAAAUGCGUAGAUAUUAGGAGGAACACCAGUGGCGAAGGCGGUCUGCUGGAC